CCCCCAGCGAAAAUGAAAAUUUUCUCAUACCCCUAUGUAUCAGGCCCACUCAUAUACUAGGACUUAGUCAACGAUGCCUGGAGCCCUUGAUACGCACGAAUCCAGCCACCAGACCAGGCGGUGACCUACUCCACUACUCCAUCUCCAGAAUUCUUUUCCCCAACUAGACCGCGGACGGCUGGGGCAUGGGGGUGGGGCACCGGCGUCUGGGAGAUUGGCUGCUGGCGCCGUGGCUUGCCGGCGUGGGGGACUGGGGGCGACCGCUGGCGGGUGGCCGGACCUGGGAUUGGUCGGCUCCUUCCUCCUCCGCUCAGGUUCAUCCACGGAUCCACUUAUGCCUCGGCUAUGGCUGUCCGCUACAGCAUCAGGCUCCGUCAACGUCGCGCAGUGCCUCGGUGAGUCGUGUGAGCAGACUGUCCUCCCUGUAUCUAUCUCAAUCUCUCCCCUAUGGAAAAUUUGGAAAGUUGAAAUAUUGUGACCUCCGUAGCUUUGUAGUGGAGGAAAAAUUCUAAUUAGAUGUGGUCUUUUCAUCUGGUCAUUGUUGGAGAUGCAGCUCCCUGUAUGAUUUUCUGCAUCUCCCAGAUUAUGUAGCUUUGUUACCUUAGUGGAGGAACCUUUGGUGAGAAAGAAAAAUUAGUGGUCAUCUCGUCAUUGAUUUUGUAAAUUAGAUUUUGUCAAUUGGAUUUUGUACUGGAAUAGAAAAUGUCCUUUGAAGAUUAAGAGGGACCGAGGGAGGCAGUGAUGCUUAAGGGAAAACAAUUGAUGCAUUUUUCAAAAGAAAGCGAGGUGAUUCAACUGAAUGUGAAGCUGAUGAACCAACAACAAUGAAAGUAAUUCCUGUUCAGCCUCCUCUGUUGUUGCUUGAAUUUGAGCAACACGGACAACAUCCUUCGAUGCCUCAACAACAAGGCCAUGAAACUCAAACAAAUGAAGUCCAAUUCCGAGGGAUUGAAUUCUUGCAGCGAGACCCAGCACUACGUCCACAGAUUCGCCCCUCCAAAGAUUUCUUUCAAGCUCCGCCACUGCUUGCGUCCUCGGUUAUGCGCAAUUUUGAGCAACUUCACAUGGAACUAUCAUGAAGGUCACACCACCACCAUUUCUUAACUAAAACUUGAUGGACUGAAGAAUAGACCUCUUCUAAGAAGCAUCUAAUUGUAGUGAUUUCCUUUGGGUUUGAGAGUAGGUCGUCUAGGGAGGUUGUGUGAUGUAGUAUGUCCAAUAUUAGAGUAGAUCCACCUAUUAUAAAAUUAAGGAAAAUCUACAUUUGCUUUCUGGAAAAGAAAAACGGGCCUACACUUCCCCAAUACAUGAUUAGGUAUGUUAUACAUUUCGGUGAAACCUGCCAUACAUUCAAUGUGUAAACCCUUGGGGCUACAACGUGUCAUAUUGCGGGUUUUCUCAAAGAUGAGUUAGUGAUGCGAAGUAGGUUUAAGAUGUUUGUACUUAGCUUAUGCCUGUGAGUGGAUGGACACCAUAGAGAUAUUAUUGUUUUCUGAUGUAUUCUAAUGUAAGCUAGCCUUGAGCUAAGCAGGUAUGUAUUGUAUUGGAGACUGGAUCUGCCAUUUAAUACUUCUAACACGUGAUUAUCUUGGUAUUUCAUCAUGUACUAUGCAUGCUAGGUAUUGGUUCAGGGACUAGCACAAUAAGCGUAGAGAGGCCCGACCAUUUUACCCAUGGGAAUGGAUAUCCAUGGGUAACCGGCCUGCAUGGGUAGGGUAUGAGCACAUUUUCAUGUCCAAGGGCAGUGCCCGAACCCUACGCGACUAGUCGUGGGUAAAAUUUUCUAUCCAUGGUACAAUGAAUGAACUAAGUGGUAUGAGGUUGCAACCAAACGAUGGGAGGUGUCUUUCGGAUGGUGCUCGCAACAUUUCACGCCGCCCCAAGUUUGGUGCACUCUUCGACCUAGUAGGAUGUGUGCUGGUGGAGGUGACGAUUUGCAUGGUCUCCAUAAGGCUAGGCACGGUCCUGCCAGGAGUUGCCCUUCCUCGCCCCGCGACGUGCCCUCAUCGGAACUAUCAAUCCGGGAUUGGACGGACAACAUCCUGCUAGCUUUGUAGAGGAACGACACACAGGCGCAAUCACGUGGGUCUCACAACUUCGUGUCGUUGGUGUUACAAUCCCAAAAGAAAAAAGAAAAGAAAACUAUCAUAGGUUGUUCAUCCUUGAGCCACACAAAGACUCUACCGGUUACCAUUAAUUAAGGUAUGAAAAUUCUGUAUAAUUUCUCUGUUUUUUGUGGACAUGUUGAUGGCACUUUCGUCUGUACCAGUGUGUCAUCUAGCUGAUCAUAGUUUUCUUUCUUCUUGGGUGAGUGAUGGUUAAUAUAAUGGUGUUUGAAAAUUUC